rnacentral:tRNA from 1 species
AGAGAUUUAGGUUAACACAACAAACCAAGAGCCUUCAAAGCCCUAAACGAAAGUGAAAAUCUUUCAAUCCCUG